UGAGGCUGAAGAUUCUGAG
rnacentral:misc_RNA from 1 species